GAUGAACGCUAGCUACAGGCUUAACACAUGCAAGUCGAGGGGAAACGAUGAGAGAGCUUGCUCUCUUAGGCGUCGACCGGCGCACGGGUGAGUAACGCGUAUCCAACCUACCCAUUACAGGGGGAUAACCUUGCGAAAGUAAGACUAAUACCCCAUGGCAUUUUAUGGUGGCAUCAUUAUAGGAUUAAAGAUUUAUUGGUAAUGGAUGGGGAUGCGUCUGAUUAGCUUGUUGGCGGGGUGACGGCCCACCAAGGCAACGAUCAGUAGGGGUUCUGAGAGGAAGGUCCCCCACAUUGGAACUGAGACACGGUCCAAACUCCUACGGGAGGCAGCAGUGAGGAAUAUUGGUCAAUGGGCGAGAGCUUGAACCAGCCAAGUAGCGUGCAGGAUGACGGCCCUAUGGGUUGUAAACUGCUUUUAUAGGGGAAUAAAGUGAGCUACGUGUAGUUUAUUGCAUGUACCCUAUGAAUAAGGACCGGCUAAUUCCGUG
rnacentral:rRNA from 1 species